GGCUUUUGCUCCCCGUGCUUCGGCACGGAAAAGCC
rnacentral:misc_RNA from 1 species